rnacentral:lncRNA from 1 species
GAUCUUCUCUCUAGGGCUGGAUGCAGCCCUAACAAAGGGACACGGGUUUUAUAUUUGAUUUUAUAUUCUUGGGGUUGUAUGAACUUAUUGUUUUCAAUGGAUAUUUUCUUUUGAAUCAUAUUUAAUUUCUGUGAUUUUAAGUAUGAUGUUCGUACAACUGUUCUUCAUGAUCACUAGGUAAAUAUAAGAUAGUCCAUGCUUAGGAAAGAUGCGAUGUGCUACCACCUUAGAUUAGGGUAGACAUUUCAUGCCAACUGAAGAUGGAUUAUGCCCAAAUUACUUUUGUGAAAUUUUAUUCGAAUGCUUAUUAGGCUUGUAGCCAAUUUGCAUGUUUAUCCAAGAAUAAAUUAAAAAUAUAAUUAAUCCUUGUUCCGAUGUUAGUAGUGGAUUCCUUGCCCUAGGUUCCUCCAAACUGAUCGUUUUAAUUGCAUUUCUUAUUAAAUUGCUUAGUUUAAUAGUUUUCACAAAUUCUCUUUUUCAAAUAUUUUUAUUUUUAAAGAAAAACAACUGUACCCCAAUCCCUGUGGAUCGAUACCCGUAAUCACUAUCCUACCAGAUACGUGCUAUUGCGUGGUCUUUAAA